rnacentral:tRNA from 1 species
CAGAAGGUAGUUUAAGUAAAAUUCCAGUUUUGGGGGCUGGAGAUGGGGAUUUGUUCCUCUCUUUUGA